rnacentral:rRNA from 1 species
AUUGAACGCUGGCGGCAUGCCUUACACAUGCAAGUCGAACGGUAACAGGUCUUCGGAUGCUGACGAGUGGCGAACGGGUGAGUAAUACAUCGGAACGUGCCUAGUAGUGGGGGAUAACUACUCGAAAGAGUGGCUAAUACCGCAUGAGAUCUACGGGUGAAAGCAGGGGAUCGCAAGACCUUGUGCUACUAGAGCGGCCGAUGGCAGAUUAGGGAGUUGGUGGGAUAAAAGCUUACCAAGCCGACGAUCUGUAGCUGGUCUGAGAGGACGAUCAGCCACACUGGGACUGAGACACGGCCCAGACUCCUACGGGAGGCAGCAGUGGGGAAUUUUGGACAAUGGGCGAAAGCCUGAUCCAGCAAUGCCGCGUGCAGGAUGAAGGCCUUCGGGUUGUAAACUGCUUUUGUACGGAACGAAAAGCCCUGGGUUAAUACCCUGGGGUCAUGACGGUGCCGUAAGAAUAAGCACCGGCUAACUACGUGCCAGCCGCCGCCGUAA